UUGCAAGCCUUUAAGCAUGCUGGAGUGUGGGGUGACUUGGUGUAUUCCUGCCAUGCUUGCCAGAAGGUUCUGAAAUGGUUUGAGGCCUUGUCCUCUCUUUUCUUCAGAGCAGGGCCAUAGACAUUUCAGACAGUU
ensembl:snoRNA